ACGGGUGCGGAAGUGUGUGCAACCUACCUUUAUAAUGGGGAUAGCCUUUGGAAAGGAAGAUUAAUACCCCAUAAUAUAUUUCAUGGCUUCAUUAGGUUUUGAAAACUCCGGUGGAUAGAGAUGGGCACGCGCAACAUUAGAUCGUUGGUGAGGUAACGGCUCACAAAGUCAAUGAUCUUUAUGGGGCCUGAGAGGGUGAUCCCCCACACUGGUCCUGAGCCACGGCAAACUCUCUACGGGAGGCAGCAGUGAGGAAUAUUGGACAAUGGGUGAGAGCCUGAUCCAGCCAUCCCGCGUGAAGGACGACGGCCCUAUGGGUUGUAAACUUCUUUUGUAUAGGGAUAAACCUUUCCACGUGUGGAAAGCUGAAGGUACUAUACGAAUAAGCACCGGCUAACUCCGUGCCAGCAGCCGCGGUAAUACGGAGGGUGCAAGCGUUAUCCGGAUUUAUUGGGUUUAAAGGGUCCGUAGGCGGACUCGUAAGUCAGUGGUGAAAUCUCAUAGCUUAACUAUGAAACUGCCAUUGAUACUGCGGGUCUUGAGUAAGGUAGAGGUAGCUGGAAUAAGUAGUGUAGCGGUGAAAUGCAU
rnacentral:rRNA from 1 species